CCAAAGUUCAGGUGAGCUCUGUUCAGAGGUCUGAGCUCCGGUCAGAGCUCAGCAUGGCGCGCUUCGAAUAGUCAGGCUGAUGAAAUUGUGCAGUCAGCCAGGCGCUUAUUGCAUUUAAUCAGUUCAUCUGAAAGACAACGGGGCGCAGCUAGUGGUGGAGUAACAAAUCAAGUUCUGAGAGAACAGAGGCAUGCGGAGAGACCAUCACUUCAAAUGGAAAUGACCAGGU